UUGGACCAGUGAAAGCCCAUAUAAGGGAGCGGCGGCCAUUGCUCUCUCUCUUUGCUCCUGCGCUCCUGACGAGGAAGGACCUAUACAGCUACCUUCCGCAACAAACGCCCGUCUGAAGAGCAGGAAGAACAGGCGGGCAGGCAUUUUGAAACGUGCUGAGGAAGAGUGGAGCGCCACGCCACUUACCCUACCCAUGGGCCCAUCGGCGGUUACACCACCUCACCCGUGUCAUGUAGGACACCAGUCAUGACACCAUCAGGACACCAGAGAGUAAAGGACACCACAAACCAAUCCGACUUCCCCCCGUUUCCCAACUGUGAUGGUGGCUCGGCUGGCAGCAGGCCUGAAAACAGAAGGAUGUCUCAAUAAGCACAAGCAUGUGAAAUACAAUUUUGUA